CUGAGAGCUGCUGCUCAGCAACUUCACCCACAGCAACCAUGACUUUGAUCAGCGUCUUCAUCUGCACACUGGCCCUCUGGACUCAAGGAUCCAGAGGUCAGGUGACUGUGACUCAGACUCCUUCAGUGCAAACUGUUGCUCCAGGAAACACAGUCACCAUCAACUGUAAAACCAGUGUGGCUAGUGGUAGCAACCUACACUGGUACCUGCAGAAACCUGGAGAAGCUCCUAAACUCCUGAUCUACGCUGCUGAUACAUUAGAGUCAGGGAUUCCAGAUCGUUUCAGUGGCAGUGGAUCUGAUACUGACUUCACUCUGACCAUCAGAGGAGUCCAGACUGAAGAUACAGGAGAUUACUACUGUCAGAGUGAACAUCAGAUCAGUAGUAACUGGGUGUUCACACAGUGUUAGAGCGUCGUACAAAAACCUCGGUCAGUGAGACUGCACAGAGAAACACUGCUGCAGCUGGGAGUGACUGCAGGUGCUGAGGGGGAGGAUGUGAUACAGCACAAUGACACA